rnacentral:rRNA from 1 species
UACGUAGGGGGCAAGCGUUGUCCGGAAUCAUUGGGCGUAAAGCGCGUGUAGGCGGUUCGAUAAGUCUGCUGUGAAAGUCCAGGGCUCAACCCUGGGAUGCCGGUGGAUACAGUCGGGCUAGAGUACGGAAGAGGCGAGUGGAAUUCCCGGUGUAGCGGUGAAAUGCGCAGAUAUCGGGAGGAACACCAAUUGCGAAGGCAGCUCGCUGGGACGUCACUGACGCUGAGACGCGAAAGCGUGGGGAGCAAACAGG